rnacentral:rRNA from 1 species
GUAACUGCGAGUGAAGCGGGAAAAGCUCAAAUUUAAAAUCUGGCAGUCUUUGGCUGUCCGAGUUGUAAUCUAGAGAAGUGUUAUCCGCGCUGGACCGUGUACAAGUCUCCUGGAAUGGAGCGUCAUAGAGGGUGAGAAUCCCGUCUUUGACACGGACUACCAGGGCUUUGUGAUGCGCUCUCAAAGAGUCGAGUUGUUUGGGAAUGCAGCUCAAAAUGGGUGGUAAAUUCCAUCUAAAGCUAAAUAUUGGCGAGAGACCGAUAGCGAACAAGUACCGUGAGGGAAAGAUGAAAAGAACUUUGGAAAGAGAGUUAAACAGUACGUGAAAUUGCUGAAAGGGAAACGCUUGAAGUCAGUCGCGUCGUCCAGGGAUCAGCCUUGCUUUUGCUUGGUGCACUUUCUGGUUGACGGGUCAGCAUCAAUUUUGACCAUUGGAAAAAGGUUGAGGGAAUGUGACAUCCUUGGAUGUGUUAUAGCCCUUGAUUGCAUACGAUGGUUGGGAUUGAGGAACUCAGCACGCCGCAAGGCCGGGUUUUUAACCACGUACGUGCUUAGGAUGUUGGCAUAAUGGCUUUAAUCGACCCGUCUUGAAACACGGACCAAGGAGUCUAACAUGCCUGCGAGUGUUUGGGUGGAAAACCCGAGCGCGUAAUGAAAGUGAAAGUUGAGAUCCCUGUCGUGGGGAGCAUCGACGCCCGGACCAGACCUUUUGUGACGGUUCCGCGGUAGAGCAUGUAUGUUGGGACCCGAAAGAUGGUGAACUAUGCCUGAAUAGGGUGAAGCCAGAGGAAACUCUGGUGGAGGCUCGUAGCGAUUCUGACGUGCAAAUCGAUCGUCAAAUUUGGGUAUAGGGGCGAAAGACUAAUCGAACC